GACGAACGCUGGCGGCGUGCUUAACACAUGCAAGUCGAGCGGGGAUUGAUGAAGUGCUUGCACAGAUUCAAUUCUAGCGGCGGACGGGUGAGUAACGCGUGAACAAUCUGUCCCAGACAGGGGGAUAACAGAUGGAAACAUCUGCUAAUACCGCAUAAGACCACGACACCACAUGGUGAUGGGGUAAAAGAUUUAUCGGUCUGGGGUGAGUUCGCGUCCGAUUAGCUAGUUGGUGAGGUAACGGCCCACCAAGGCGACGAUCGGUAGCCGACCUGAGAGGGUGAUCGGCCACAUUGGAACUGAGACACGGUCCAA
rnacentral:rRNA from 1 species